AAGUUACAAAACUUGAGGUGAACGUAUGUUAAAAUUCUCCCCGUAACACAAAAGGUUUCAGUCUGCUCUGAAUGCUUCUUCCCAACGUUUAUAUUUCUACAUUCCCGACACUGCAAUGUAUGAAACGUCAUUAAAGUCCAUAAACAGAUCACCACUCCGGCCUCAGCUCCAGGUUCAGCAGACCCCAGCACCGGAGCAGGCAAACAAAUUACAGGCUGCAGGGACUGCUACAUUAGCGACCACAAUAUAAAGAAGAAAGUUUUUCUGUUGUUGCUGCAGUGGAAGGAAGGCAACAAUGGACACCAGUGAAUAUCAUUUGUAUUUUUGGACCUCCAUACAGCAGUACAACACCUACAUUUUUGUCUGGACUUUCCGUUUCACGAGAUUGGCCGUUUCAGCGACCACCGCCUGCUUAGCUGGCUUGCCAUGAUGUCGGUUACACUGCUACUGAAGGAUGGGCCGCACCAACUUUAUUGGGCCAGUGUGUCAAUUCAGAACCCCAAUCUUAUAUCACAGCAAGACCCCUGUAGCAGCAUUACAGCAUGUUACCAGCAUUUACGAUGCCAGACAGACCCACCACCAACAGUAUCUGUGGGUACACUGCUGUCCAUGGAAUCACAGAAAGAACAUGUUGAGAGAUCAUCCAAGUGACCUGAAUGAAGCCUGUGUUUGAUCAGGUGUUCUGGGACCCAUCAGACUCUCCUCACAUUAUGAGAGACCAUCAGAAGAGGAAGUUAUCGCUGGGUGGGUGUUGUGCUUCAGUCAAGUGACAUCCUGAAGACGACAAAGCAUCCAGCAGCAUCAGGAAGGAAUCCACAAGAAGACAUGCCAGGAUGACCAGUCUGACUCUCUGCCCUGAGAGCACCAGCACCAGCUGACACAACUGUAAUAUGCAAGCAGUAUACAAGAAUCCAGUUGGAGCACUGGGGCCUGGCAGAGCUGCAGCAGGGGCCCUGAGGCUGGUCCAUUCACUGUGCACGAUGCAUCAUGGCACCUAUCACAGUCAAUCAUAGCGGUGUUGUUAAGCCUCCAGCAUCCAAUUAGAGGAGAUUACUUUCUAAGAGUCUUACAAUGACCAUACAGGUCCUCACCAUGUGUUUCCUCCUCAUACAUGGAUCACAGAGGAGCUGGCACUGAUACCGAUUCAUGUUCAAAUCACCAUGGCCUUUUACGUGCAUGCCAUAUGUUGUUGUGUAAAGAGGAUUUAACAUGGAUGUUUGAAAGCAUAAAUCAAAGUUUGUUGAUUGUACCACCUAAAAACAGUAUUUUGGUGUCACUGUUCAGUCAUUUAAACAUUACCAUUUACUUGUAGCUGCAAGUAGCAAUAAGAUGACUGCACACCACACAUUAGUCUUGUAAUUUAGUCAUGAAGUGAAGUAAAAAUAAAUUAAUAAAACUUAUUUUUAAAACAAUGUCACAUAAUUUUUGCUCAAAAUUCAUCCUCACAC